UGUUUCUGAAAAUUCUAACAUCCAAACACAAGUCAGUAUUCCAAUCCACAGCAAAUAAGAUAGUCAGUAUUCCAUUCCAUAGCAACAGAAGAUAGAAAGACUCCCUUACAUUAACAGAUCAGUCCAUCUCUCAAACCUCAUAAGAAAUGUUUCCUUUUGUGUUAGAUGGUGAUGACAACUAACACAGAGACCCACACUAGUCAAGAUUCCUGGAGACUGCAUCAUUUGUAACAAAUGGAGGUUUAUUUGGCUUGGGAUGAGGGAAGCAGAGUGAAGAAGUAUGCUUUCUGUGUCUAGUAGGGUUCCUAAUGCUGCAUCAUUCUGUGGUGUGAGCCCAGUCUACCUAGGAACCAGCAUCUAGAAAGAAGACAGCUACAAGAGAGAAGACAGUACCUGUGCACCCAGGCCCUUCAGUCAUGUGUGCAUGAAGUAAAGAAUAGGAGUUCCCUAGAUCAGAAUGGCCGUGGUUUCUUCAGUUGCCUCUCACCUUUAUGAAGAAUGAACUGUGGGGUAUUUGGAUCCUCUUUGUCACCCCAGUAAAGAAAUCUCUUUCCAUGUGAAGGAAUCCAGCCCUCAGCUCUAAGCCUACAAGCAUGAAGAUUAGGAGCAUGUGUUUAUGCGAGCCAAGUGCAAGCUGAUACCCCUGGAGGCCAGCAGAGGCCAUUGAAUCCUCUGGAAAUGAAAUUACAGGCAGCUGUGAUGGGUGCCUGACCCUGGAUCCACUGCAAGGAGAAAUCCCCUGAACAGUUGGUGACUAGAUGAUAUAACAUGUUAUCUACAGAACAAGACUAGAAUAAUAGUUUUAAGAUCAUUCCAUUAAAUGUAGAGAAGUUAAAGGAAGACACGAUGGACAGUAAUGAGAUUCCACAUCUGAGACUGGGCAGCAGCUCCCAGCCAGACUGGCCCAGCAUGCACUGAUUUAGCUCACUUUACCUCACAUUCAGUCGCAUCCAUCAACCAACCUGAGGGCAGGCCGGAUGAAAGAGUGACGAAAGGCUGGGACGUUGUGACUUCUUUGGCGAGAGCUCACCCUCUGAAUGGAAAGCUGACUCUGUUUCGGGGCCUUAGGAAAAGGUCUAAUAAACGUGCUCUGGUAAUCUUC
rnacentral:sRNA from 1 species